AUCUCGCCGUACGAGAUCUCCUCGAAGACCUAGGACUAAAUCCCGCAUUAGUGAGAACUCCCGGGACGUUAUAAGUGAACAGACAGCGUUUGUUUCCUCAAACGAGAACAAGAUGUCUAAGACAGAGUCGAAACCCAUCUAUGCUGGUGAUAGAGAUAGAGAUGUAUCUAAUUGCAUUGGAAUAACUAUUGGCGUUUUUGCGGUUAUUUCUGGACUUGGAGGUGUGGGCGCAAUGAUUAUGUUGAAAGCAUUACAGAGUUAUAGACCAGAUAUAGAUGGUUAUUAUAUGGCAUGUUAUCCUUUUGUAUUCCCAGCGAUCACUGGCGUAGGCAUGGCAUAUAAAAGAAAAAUGGGAUCGUUAACAAUACAUUUUGGUAUUUUACUAUUGGGUAUGAUUGGUGGCUCUAUCUUCUAUGCUUUCUCUGUAUUACCGGUUUAUGAACACCGACUUGAGUGUGUUGAUGCUGUUAUGAAAGGAGAUUGUCAGAAACAUGUUCUUAUCUAUCUGUAUAUUGCUUUUGGUGCUGCUGGUGGAUUUUUCUCUAUUUUAGGCUUCCUCGUUUCUAUGUGUGCUUGCAAACAAGCCUCGAAAACCAUUGCCGACAGGAAAAGCAAUCACGAAUUACAAGAGCAGUCGAAACAACAGGCAGACUUGGAAGCUGCUAAACAAAAAAAGCAACAGGCAUUUAAAUCAAAUUAUACGCCACCGACACUCAAUGGAUCUGAAAAACAAAAUGGCAGAGAAAAACAGAAUGGAGGAUAUGACAAUUUAGCCCUAACUGUUGAUGAGAAAGUGAUGACAAAAUUGUAAAAAUAAUAUUUGUGCAAAUUACAUUAUUUGUUUUCUAAUCUUUGUCUCGGACGCAAUUUUAACGAAACAAAUUAAAUUAAAACAUUAUUACAAUUUCAAAUUCAUAAAAUCUACAGUAUCACUCGGAUGAAAACAUGUAUAAAAUAAUAAAUAACAAAAUUACUACUUCUAACGAUUAAAAAUUUGUCUAUUUUGGGACAACCAUAAGAGAAUGUUUCACUAAGUGAAUUGAUUAUAUUGUGACCUUUAUGCAGUGGCGGAUCCAGGUGGGGGCUCUAUGAGCCCGGGCCCGGGCCCCCAUAAUUACCAGUAUAAAAAAUCAGUUAUUAUUCUGUUUCUAUGAAACUUGUAAAUUUCAGCUUUUUAUUGGUUGGGAUGAUCGGGGUAGACGUCCAUAUAUGCGCAACAAAUCACCAUUGACACUCCGGUUUUUCCAAAUUUUCUCCGAGAGACACUACCAAUUCCCCCCCCCCCCUUAAUCAAAUAUCCUGCGUCCGCCAAUGCCUUAUGUACUUAUAUAAUGUACUUACAAUCAAGUGUAUUUAACUGUGCGAGUUGGUGUUAUGUAAUAUACAGAAUGUAUAUAAUGUCAUAUGUCCAUUGUUUUCUUAUUAUCUUUCGUUUUCUUAAUAUGUUUUUAAGCAAUACAAGUGUUGUACUUACUGCUUUUUAGGGACUAUACAACUUACAAGAAUUAACUGAUGUAAAUGUGUCUUUAAUGUAGAAUGAUUGCAGUGAGAGUAUGCAGUAAAUGUUUGUUAGUAUGUAUGUGCGAUUUUGUACUUAUAUUAAACAAUGUUUUAUCAAUGAAUGAAAGGGUUUAUGUAUUAUAUCUACAUAUAUAGGUUUAUUUUGUCUAUCCUCUACUUUCAGUAAAUAUCACUAUAUGGUAUAUGUCUGAACAUUAUUAAAUUAUACAAAUUGUA